rnacentral:rRNA from 1 species
CACGUAGGGCGCGAGCGUUGUCCGGAAUUAUUGGGCGUAAAGAGCUCGUAGGCGGCCUGUUGCGUCCGCUGUGAAAGCCCGGGGCUUAACCCCGGGUCGGCAGUGGAUACGGGCAGGCUAGAGGUAGGUAGGGGAGAAUGGAAUUCCCGGUGUAGUGGUGAAAUGCGUAGAGAUCCGGAAGAACACCGGUGGCGAAGGCGGCCUGCUGGGCAGUAGCUGACGCUGAGGCGCGACAGCGUGGGGAGCAAACAGG